UUCUCUGCCUCUGCCUCCGACUUCGGCUCAAGCACCUCCAUUUCUUCUGACGUUGGAGCCCUCAUUUUUAUGUUGAGCAAAACCCCCAGAACUUGCAACAUCCUCUGACCCGUCAAAUUCAGGCUCAUAUUAUUAGGAUUCCUCUUGCAAAUCUUGAACCAUCCUCAGAAAAUCUGGUAGAAUUUCUGCAGAUUCAGCUGGCUUUUUGUUGCCAAAGAACCAAGUUCAUUUUACAUUUUCUUCUGGUCAGUAGAGUUUUUCAAACUCAUUAAUGGCAGGUGCUUGUUAAGAUCUAGUCAUUCAAGCCCGCUUUCUGUUCACAUUCCUCUCUCUCUUUCUCUUUCUGUCUGAGAGGAUUCUCACGACGUCUAGGUGUUGAAGAUCUCCAGAGAUGCUGUGGAGUGGUGAGGAAAGUUCUUUGUUUUGAAAUUGUGUUUGGUUUGGGGCUGGAUUUGACGCAUUAAUGGCGGCGUCUGUAAAUCUUUUCCGACAUUUUGAUCCUCGUUACGAAAGUUAGUAUUAUUUUUUUUUUCUUUCGUUUUCUCCUCGCAAUUUUUGCUCAAAAGAAAAGAAACCUGCAGUUUCAUGACACUGUUUUGUGAAUCCAGCCCUUGUUUCUCUUAAUCCAAAGUUUUAUAAAAGAGACAAUCAGUUAAACUUCUUUUCUUUGUUCGUUUUAGGAUAGCGAUGGCAUUUUGGAGUUGGAUAUUGAGGCUUGCUUCUAAAAUGAAAGGGAUUUGCCUAAGGAGGAGACGCUUGUUCUGGGUUUCAUGAAGUCCCAAAAGGAUAGAAGCUCUGUUUCUCUGGUUUGCAAGGAUUGGUACACUAUGGAGAGAUGGAGCCGAAUUCACAUGUUCAUGGGUAACUGCUACUCUGUUACCAUAAAGGGAAAGCCUCAUCACGCCCAACUGGGGAGCGGAUUUCCGAUCAUGGCUUGAUGCAUUCACCUUUGCAUAUCCUCACCUUGAGGAGCUGCGUCUUAAGAGGAUGGCUGUCAGGGAUGAUGCCCCUUUCCCUCAGCAUAUGCAAAGAAAGGAAGGAAGUUUUUUUUCUUCAUUAAAGGGUAAUAUGAUCUUUUGAGGUUCAAAAAUACUAACACCAUCAUAACUAGGGAAGGGGGUGUAAAUUGUUUAAACUCUUUGAUCCAUAUGUAAUUUCUAUCAAAAAAGUGUUAACAUUCUCAAACAGAUGAUGGAUUAUAUCUCGAUUAAGAUCCCACAAAUUAAUAUCUGUUACAUUUUA